rnacentral:rRNA from 1 species
AUUGAACGCUGGCGGCAUGCCUUACACAUGCAAGUCGAACGGUAACAGAUCUUCGGAUGCUGACGAGUGGCGAACGGGUGAGUAAUACAUCGGAACGUGCCUAGUAGUGGGGGAUAACUACUCGAAAGAGUGGCUAAUACCGCAUGAGAUCUACGGAUGAAAGCAGGGGAUCGCAAGACCUUGUGCUACUAGAGCGGCCGAUGGCAGAUUAGGUAGUUGGUGGGAUAAAAGCUUACCAAGCCGACGAUCUGUAGCUGGUCUGAGAGGACGAUUAAGCACACUUGGACUGAGGAACGGGCCAGGAUCCUACCGGAAGCCGCAGUGGGGAAUUUUGGACAAUGGGCGCCAGCCUUGUCCAGCAAUGCCGCGUGCAGGAUGAAGGCCUUCGGGUUGUAAACUUCUUUUAAACGGGACGAAACCCCUCGAAGUUUCGGGGGCUGACGGUACCGUAAGAAUAAGGGUCGGCUAACUUCGUGCCAGCCGCCGCAGUAACAC